rnacentral:tRNA from 1 species
AGGCCCGUAGCUCAACUGGUAGAGCAACGGACUCUUAAUCCGUGGGUUGGGGGUUCGAGUCCCCCCGGGCCUACCA